GGAGGGGGGGGGGGGAGGACAACAACAACAACAAACCCCCCCCCAAAACACAAAGACAAGAGAAUGUUGAUUAGAAACAAAUGAUCCUGCCCCCCCCUCCCCUUCCCUCUCUCGAGGUUGUGAGUGUGAGUGUGUGUGUGUGUGUCUUUUUCUUGUUGUGGUGGAGGCGUCGAGCCAUAUGGGGGAGUGAUAGAGGAAUUUUAGUCAGAAACUGUUCGUUAUGUUACACUGGCUUUUCCCUUUGUGUUGUCUUUGAUCUAUUUGCUUGGCUUAGUAUUACAAAAAAAACCCCAACUAAAAUAAUAUAUUCCGAGCAGCUUCCCAAGGAUCCGUUCCUUGUUAUCUUUUUUUAAAGUCUCUCCCCCUCCACCACCACCCUUUACUCUUGUGUCUGUCAUUAUUUAAGGUGGUCCUCACAGAGGAGACCUCCCCUUCCCCUCAUCUCUGGGUAAUUUAGUAGACAUUAAAAUUACACGUAAUGUUUCCCUCUCCUCUCUUGUGUUUCCUCUGUUCUUUUUAUUAAAUGUUGGUUAUUGAUUUUCUAAAAUCAAUGUCUGUUGUGGGGCUUUUUUCCCCUUACAAGUAUCUAAAGCACGUUGCUGAUCAACUGGAUAACAAAAGCUUUGUGUCAAGUAGCCUUUUUUCUUAUGUUAAACAGUCAUUUUUGAGAGAAAAAGCGAAUGAGAUUUAAAGCAACGCAUCCAGAAGUGCUCUUUUGCAGUAAAGAAUAUUCUGAGUGUUUGAGGGGGUUUUAUUCUUCUUCUUCAGCCUCCUCGCUUUUUCAGACAAGAUUAUUAGUUUAGCGUGUUAAAACCAUCACAUGCUCUGUGAUGAGGGAUGCGUCUACGUGUUUAAUAUUUUCUCAACACGAUUUGAGUCGCACCCCCCCCCGGAAAAAAAAAAAGGGGGAAAAAAAAAAAAAAAAAGCUGGAUGCCUCUGUUUGCCCAGGACACCAGGACUGCAGCCUGUACGCCCUGUUACUGCAGCCAGGUCUUUGGGAACACGUACGGACCGGGGUGGCAGAAAUUCUUGUUGCUCCCAUGCAAAAGUGUGUUUUCACGGAACUGCACUAACUUGGGAAGCCACCACACUUGGGAGUCGAAAGUUUAAUUGCGAUUUUUAAGGUAACCACUUAAAGAUCCUGCAAACUUCAAGUGUGUGCGCUGGUAAAGCGAAGGUCUAACUUCUCCCCUCAGUGUCUUGCUCUGGCCAAGACAGGGGUGGAAAAAAUAAUUCUCGACUUUCUGUCUGUCCACUCUUUUCUCUUUGUGCUCCGUAAUUUGUUUCUUUCAUUCAUUUCUGAGUGAGAAAUGUCCUGGUUCUGAGAAGCAGGUAGACGAGCGAGGGUAGGUUUGGUUAGGGGGUUGGUGUUUGGGGUUUUUUUUUCAUUUUCUCUUUCUCGACAAGCACGUAUCCAAUGCCUUUCCCGUUGGGAAUUGCCCAGGAUUUAUCUGGACUGAGUGGAUUUUUCUUCUUUCCUGGAUUCGUGGAAAAGAUGUCACUUCUGAGCUUGUGUCUUUGCUGAUAACACCAGAAACGGUGAUGCUUAUCGAAAUCAGACAGAAAUUCCUUAGAAACGCAGCAGACCCCAAAUAAAAUUUAAAAGCCACCAAAAAAAAAAAAAGAAGAAGAAAAAGAAAUAGAGGGUCAUCAAGGAAGCUGGGGGAGUGUGAGUGCAAUCACAUACAAAUUACAGACGGGGACAAAACAGAGUAAUCCAACUAAUGCCUCAGUGGGCUCCGCGCCUGUGUGCGUGUCUCUGCGUGUGUGCGGGGAUGGGCAAGGCUCGGGAUUAGAUACCGGCGCUGGAUAAAAUUACGGCGGAGCUAAAUAGGGUAGAAAGGAAGAAAAGCUCGGGAUUUUCCAAGAUAACGGGGUUGAGGAGAGCUGCUGGAGUGCAGGAGAGAAGCCACUUUUAGGAUCCUAACAAGUUUUUUCCCCCCCGUCAGCAAAUAGAUUAAACGUGCUAAAGCAACUUCGAGAGGGAAGAACAGUUUGAACAAUGAGGAGCGGGAGGGAUGUCUUAUUUUCCUGUAGCUGCUAUGGCAGAUUUCACUCAUAAGGAGCACACUAACCGAGAUGUUACCAGUUGAACAGAAGCAUGUGACACAGAUUCCUGAUUUUUUCCCAGAAGAUUUACAGAAUUUACAAAAAGAGAUUAUCUCUACACCUUCCACCCUCCUAACCACCCCCAUGACCCAAGCAAUGGAGGAUUUAGGCAGAUUUACUUCAGUAAACACCUUUGGACACUUGGGGAAAAGUAGGAGUCUGUUUGCAAAAGCAGGCUUUUGUUAAGUGAGGUGCUGGAUAAUGCUUUACCAGGCAGCUGUGAUAUUAACCUACCCAGUAAUGCUGGAAAGAGCGUUAACUCCUUGUGCGCACCGGGGCCUUGCCCGGCGAAGGCCGUGCUGGCCCCGCAGGUACCGGGCCUGGGGGGGGACACACACAGGCGAGGAGGUGACACUGCUGAAACCACAGCAGCCGCUCAACCUGACACAUCUUUUACUUGGUGGCAGUUGAAUCUUUCGGGGUCAAUCCAUCAGAGAGAGGGCCGGGAAGAGCUACGAGGCAUGGUCACGAAAGCCCCUUCCAUCAGUGAGGGGUUAUCUAUCCGGGGGUGCGUACGCACGCGUACACGCUCUAGCUCUACCCCCACAUGUCUAACGUAGCCCAAAACCUCUCUAGGAAAGCUCGCAAGCAUUGCUAAGAGGGGAAGGUCAAUUUAGGAUUCGCGCUGCAGCAGCAGAAGAGCUGAGAAGUUAUGCCGGCAAACCUGUACGAGUGGCUCCCCCGGGUCGCUCUGGGCUCCCGGGGUUGGAAGGAAAGCCAUCAGCUUUCGGGGGGCUUCGCAUUCCCCAGGGUGAA